AAAACGUUUGUGCCCUAACGCCGAUCUCUCUCUCUUUCUCUCUCCACCCGUUUCUUCGCCUUUUCUUCCUCCUUUCCCUUCCACCCGCGUCGCGCCCUCGAUCCUCCCCGAAUUCCUGCAAGAUCUUUGGAGAUACGGCUCGACCCCGGAUCUUUGGAGCUCGGGUUUUCCUCGCGCCGCUUCUGCUUAGGUUUUCGCCUCCGGGUCCUCUUCUUUCAUUUCUAGGGUUUGUGCGGUUAAUGCGCGUUGGGGCUCUUUGCGCUUUUGGUCGGCCGCCCGAGUUCCACGGCAUUGGAGGAAUAUCGCCCUGGGAAGUGGCCUCUGCUGACGGUCGGUGGGUCAGUCGAGUUUAGGGUGUGGGGCCAUCGCGCUCGAGGGGGAAGUCGAAGUCAUCUCUUUCUGUUGUGGAUUAAGUUUUGGUUCGCUGUUCUGUUCUUUUGGCCCUCGCGGCAGUCGGAGCGAAUUUGAGAGGACGGUGUUACCUUCUGAUUUUCUUGAAUUACCAAGUGGAAUAGUGGAAGCUUGAAUCCUUCAAGAGAAGAGGCCCAUCGGACCACGGUUGUGGAUGAUAAUCGUUGUUUUCGUCUUCAGAUUCUGAUUUUUUGGUGUUGUGGCGAAAAGAUUUAUCUUCGCUGUUUCUGUUGUCAUUGUGGCUCUUUCUAUUUUCACUUUUCUGGUGCAUGUCUAUCUGCUAUUGCACUCAUCUCAUCAGUUGUGCUUGUCUAGAGAGUAUUCUUUCGCGUUUUCUGCAUUGGAAGAGGGGAAUAAGGAAGUUCUUUAAGGAGGCAUCGGGUACUGACUGUAGGAUAGCUUUUCAUGGGUGAUCAUGGAGGACGGGAAUGGCUUGGUAGCAUACUUCCCAGUGGCCUUUUGCCCAGGGAAACAACCAAUGUGACCCAAGUGCUUGAUGCAGACAGAUGGACUAAGGCAGAGGAACAAACUUCAGAGCUGAUUGCCCGAAUUCAGCCAAAUCAAUCAUCUGAGGAGCGGAGAAAUGCUGUAGCCGACUAUGUCCAGCGGCUUAUCGCAAAUUGCCUCUCCUGUCGGGUUUUCACAUUUGGGUCGGUGCCUCUCAAGACUUAUUUACCUGAUGGAGACAUUGAUUUGACCGCAUUCAGUGAUAAUGAAAAUUUGAAGGAUACAUGGGCUACUGCAGUUUGCGGUGUAUUAGAAAAUGAAGGAAAGAGUGAGAAUGCUGAAUUUCGUGUAAAAGAAGUUAAAUACAUCCAAGCAGAGGUAAAGCUCAUAAAAUGUCUUGUUGAAAAUAUUGUUGUGGACAUUUCUUUCAAUCAGGUUGGUGGCUUAUGCACACUUUGUUUCCUUGAAGAGAUGGACAAAGCGAUAAAUCAAAACCAUCUAUUCAAGCGGAGUAUUAUAUUAAUUAAAGCUUGGUGUUAUUAUGAAAGUCGUAUUCUCGGUGCUCAUCAUGGACUUAUAUCUACAUAUGCCUUGGAGACUUUGGUUCUUUACAUAUUUCAUAUCUUCAAUAAUUCAUUUGCUGGCCCACUUGAGGUCUUGUUUCGUUUUCUUGAAUUUUUUAGCAACUUUGAUUGGGAUAACUAUUGUGUUAGUCUCUGGGGACCAGUUCCUAUCAGAUCACUUCCAGAUAUGACUGCGGAACCUCCUAGAAAGGAUAAUGGUAAUUUGUUGUUUAGUAAAGGCUAUCUUGACAACCGAACUGCAGUGUAUUCUGUUACACCAGGUGGUCAAGAAAAUCAGAGCCAUCCUUUUGUUGCAAAACAUUUCAAUGUUGUCGACCCGUUACGCACAAACAACAAUCUUGGACGCAGUGUGAGCAAAGGUAAUUUCUUCAGGAUACGUAGUGCUUUUGCAUAUGGGGCCAAAAGACUGGCCAGAUUACUUGAAUGUCCAAAAGAUGAGAUAAUCACUGAAGUGAAUCAAUUUUUUAUAAACACAUGGAAAAGACAUGGGAUUGGUGAUCGACCUGAUGCUCCUAGCUUAGAUUUAUGGCACUUGCAACCACCGAAAACUGAUCCUAUUAAGCAAUCAAACAACUUCAAAAGCACUACAAGUGUCAAGAAGAAUUUUCAAAAUGGUGUAUUGCAGGUUGGUGACGAGCAUCUGGCUGAAACUGGUUACAAUUUUCAUAGUUCCAUCUCUAAAAUCUUUAGCGACAAUCAGAACCUAUUUAGAUCAAAUAAACAAUCUGCAGUUUCUCAUGUGGAGAGCCAAACAAAUUACAGCAAGCAGGUCAAUACGAGAUUCAGUAAUCAGCUGGAGAGAAGCUAUUACUCUAGUGGAUCUGUUCAAAGUGACAAAGACCAGAAAAUAUUAAAACCUAAUUACUUUUUCAAUGACAGGGAAGAACAGGUUAAAUUUCAUUUUGGAAGGACGAGAUCUAGUCCUGAACUGACAGAGACAUUUUUUAAUUUGUCUCAGAAAAGGCAUGGCAGAUCAAUAGAAACAGUGAAGGUUCAGAAUCGUGCAAAGUUUGAUUCUGAUAUCAGACGAAAGAACUUGGGCUCUGAUAUUACAGGCAGUCACAGUUCAAAGUCUUCUCUUGAUGAUAAUAUAUCAAUGAGACAGACUUCGUCUCAAAAGAAUCUUGAAGUUGCUUCUGGUGCAAUUAGUCUUUCAAAUAGCCAUCAGGGUGAUUUUGGCUUUGGUAACAUGGUGGAGGAGCUUGCUUCUGUUUCAGAGACAUUGCAGAUGCAACAGGAAGAACAGGAUUUGGUGAAUAUGAUGGGAUCUUCCAACAUUAACAGUUUUAGUGGGCAGGUUCAAUUGCCAAUGCAUCUAUCUCCUUUUCAUCUGCCCCUAACAUAUUCAACAUCUGUGGGUUAUUUCAAGGGAAAUAUGGCUGGAGUUGUACCCUCGAAUCUAUCUAUACUUGGGCCUCCCUAUGGACCCAACAUCCAGUUUGGUCCAGGUCUUGUUUCCUUCCCUCUUUCCAGUUACUUCCAUGCUGCCGCAUUUGGUUCGAAUGCAGAUGAUGCCACAUAUGUUAAUAAUGGUUCUUCCAUGAUGGAAGUCAGCUCAGAGGAUAAUGAUUGUGGCAAGUUGCGUGAAGAUGAUGUUGUACUCUCCAGAGAGUUUGAGCCUGAUGAAAGUGGUCCACAGAUUAUUCAUGCUGAUGACAAGCAACAGAAGUUAGACGGUAGCUUAACCUCAAGUCUUGCAGCAAGUGGCAUUGGGUCUGGUUCAUCACCCCGGGGACAGUUGGGUAGAGAAAACAGAAGUUCGACUAAAGAAGAUUAUAAUAGUUCCUUCCAAGGUAAAACAAGUAGAGGAGGUGAUUUCCAGAGUUCAAACCCGAGGUUCUUCCCUCUGUCGCAGGCAAGUUCUUCCAGAACCAGACCUGCAUCAGAAAAUCUGAGGGAUAGAUCAGCUGCAAAUAUCUCAAAGUCAGCAAGGGACAAAUGGGGGAGAAAACCAGUGUCUCCUUCAAUUUCAACUUCCUCUUUUGGAAAAGAAAACAGUCGGUUGCAAUUUGAGGGUUCAUCUGACCCUGUCUUUUCGAAGGUAGAAGAUGAUAUUUCAGGCUGGAUUCCUCUGUCAACCAUGGGAAACAAUAUGUCUGAAAGAAUUACAGAAUCUUCAUCUUCAGCUUCCUCACAUGUGAUGAGCCAUCAUCCACCUGGCUGGGAAUCAGCACAAAAUCAAUUGGAUCCACGGACCCCAACUGCACCGGUGCUUGUUGGCACUUCCCAGCAGAGGGGUGUGGAUUAUUCCAAGCUUCUGCCUAUGGCAUUUGUUGCGACCGGUCCACCAGUUCCAUACUUGAUGUUUCCUUAUGGUAAUUUCACAUCUAAUACAGGAAAACCUGAUGAAUAUGCAAGACAAUUUGAUAGAGAGGAAGAAUCAGAUCAGUUUGAUGUAAGCACUGCUGGUCAGAACAUCGAUUUAGUGGAUAGCUUUGUCCAGUCUGAGGCUUUCGUUAACCAAACUGUUUCAAGAGAUUAUGCACCUGAAACCUCUGAGGAGCCUAGUUCUGACAUUCUGAACAGUGAUCUAAAUGACCAUUGGCAGAAUCUGAUAUAUGGACGGUACUGCCAAAACUCCAAUCACGGACCUUUUGUGUACUCUUCCCCUGUUGCAGGGCAACCGAUUUAUCUUCCCAGUCAUCAUCUGUGGGAUGGUCCUGGCAGACCACUUGCAGCAAAUCUGAACUAUAUACCUAUCAUGGGUCAUGGUCCUCGACUUGUGCCUAUGAUGCCUCUUCAAACUGGUCCUGAUCAGGCUCCUGGUGUCUUCCAGCGUCAUGUAGAUGGAGCACCAAGAUAUCGUGGUGGUACUGGCACCUAUCUACCAAAUCCUGUUGAUUGACAGAUUAGGUUAGCUAACCUAUAGAAUUGCUAUCCCGGCUUUGUGAAAAAGGCUCGUCCAUCCGACAUAAUUAUCAGCGUCUUAUUGGUACAAAUUUCUGUUGAUUCUAAUAGCAGCAGCAGCAGCAGCAGCAGCAGCAGCAUAUUUGAAUAGUGUUCCUCAAAACACACUGUUACAUCCUCCCCCAUCAGUGUUGUAUUGGUUUGAUCCGGGAGCUGUACACAGGACACAUCCUCGUUUGAGCUAACGUCACAUGUUAUUACAAGUAAAUUACCAAAUGGAACAGGUAAAAAAAAAAAGGUCAAACUUUUCUCAAUUUUUUUAAAGAAAUUGUUACUGCUACUUAAUCUCCUCCAGCCCUCUUCUUCAACGUUGCAAUAAACUCGUCUCUUUCUUCCUGUGUCAUUCCUUGUGUGGAGCAGUCUCCCACGCCCCACUCUGCACCUCUCAAGCAGUACUUAUCUUGAAGCUCUCUUUGAUUCCUGAAAACAUUCGAGGAGCAAAGUCUGUUACUGUGGAUUUGUUUGGAAUUGCACUAGUUUUCGUGUAGGAGACUACUAAUCUGGUCAUGAAUUUUCCUUCACCAUGCAUUUAUUUCACUUGGUUUGUAAUCUUUAGAUGCUUUUUGAAGUCAUAUUUUUAACAGGCAAAAAAUAAGCUAGCAACGGAAAGAGAUCAUACACAAGUUUCUUCAAAUGUCUGUGAUGGAGUCCUCACAAGAGUAGAAUAAGAGAUGUAUAUCUCAAAUCUAUAUAAACUCUUCAAUGUAGUAGACUAAAGCUAUCUGAAGCACAGAUACUUCAUUACCUACCAUCA